rnacentral:rRNA from 1 species
UACGUAGGGGGCAAGCGUUGUCCGGAAUCAUUGGGCGUAAAGCGCGCGUAGGCGGCCCGGUAAGUCCGUUGUGAAAGUCAAAGGCUCAACCUUUGAAUGCCGAUGGAUACUGCCGGGCUGGAGUCCGGAAGAGGCGAGUGGAAUUCCUGGUGUAGCGGUGGAAUGCGCAGAUAUCAGGAGGAACACCGAUAGCGAAGGCAGCUCGCUGGGACGGUACUGACGCUGAGGCGCGAAAGCGUGGGGAGCAAACAGG